AUUGAACGCUGGCGGCAGGCCUAACACAUGCAAGUCGAGCGGCAGCGGGAAAGUAGCUUGCUACUUUUGCCGGCGAGCGGCGGACGGGUGAGUAAUGCCUGGGGAUCUGCCCAGUCGAGGGGGAUAACUACUGGAAACGGUAGCUAAUACCGCAUACGCCCUACGGGGGAAAGCAGGGGACCUUCGGGCCUUGCGCGAUUGGAUGAACCCAGGUGGGAUUAGCUAGUUGGUGGGGUAAUGGCUAACCAAGGUGACGAUCCCUAGCUGGUCUGAGAGGAUGAUCAGCCACACUGGAACUGAGACACGGUCCAGACUCCUACGGGAGGCAGCAGUGGGGAAUAUUGCACAAUGGGGGAAACCCUGAUGCAGCCAUGCCGCGUGUGUGAAGAAGGCCUUCGGGUUGUAAAGCACUUUCAGCGAGGAGGAAAGGUUGGUAGCUAAUAACUGCCAGCUGUGACGUUACUCGCAGAAGAAGCACCGGCUAACUCCGUGCCAGCCGCCGCCGUAAGAC
rnacentral:rRNA from 1 species